ACAGUAUCCGCUGCUCUGCAAAGAGAGGAAUCUCUGUCUGCAGACUCCGAGCAAGAGGAGAGUGAUAUUACUUGUUGGAGGCUCGAUGGAUUACCGACAGUUACCGCGCGUAUUGGGUGAGGAUGGAGAGGACACUGCGGCCUCUUCCUGGAAUACAUUUCUACUUAUGCAAAGUAUAGAGGGGGCUCUAGUUAUUCCUUAUGAAAAAUUUCCAACAAUGGUGUCAUAUAUGAUGUAUGCAGCAAACCAUGUUUCCACUGAAGAUAUGGAUGGGAAGCCAUCGUUUAUUGCACCCCCUAUUUGGGAAAGAUGCUUCCACACUAAAUUCACGCCAGGGGACACCCUUGGAGAAGGUGGCUUUGGGCGGGUUUCUACCAUGGCAUCAGAUGACACGCUCUGCAUAAAAUAUAUCCCAAAAUUGACAGCACUGUACAAGGAGGCUGUGCUGAUGGAUAUCAUUCACCUUACCAGUCUGUUCAAGCCCCAUGGUGCGUCCAAUAAGGUUCUACAGAUGAUGUUUGCGUGUGUAGAAUGCCAAUGCAUCGUGCUUCCAAAAAUGAGAUGUUCUUUGGAUACCUACAGAGAGUGGUCUCCAAACAGUGUUGCUGACACCUUAAGUGGCUUCAGAGGGUUAAUUGAUGGACUGUUGUAUCUAAACUUUACAUGUGGUAUAACACACUGCGAUGUUAGCCCUUCCAAUAUCCUUAUUGGGGCAGGAGGACUUUCAGACAUGGUAUUAUCUGACCUUGGAAUUGCAACAAUUAUAUGUGCGCCCGGCAUGCCUGGAGAAAUACCAAUAUUUUCAAAAAUGCUUGGAAGAGUCACUAACCUAUAUUCAUCAUCAUGUCCCAUGUUUUUUGCCAAAAGAGACUAUAGACCUUCCACCUGCCUGUUUUUGUGUUAUAAGGCCAUAAAGGAGCAAAAAGCUGCAGAAUCCAUUCCAAUGUACUGGAGGACACCACAGGAGGGACUAAGAUUGGACUUGUGCUGUCUUUAUUAUUCCUUUCAGGACUGUCUACUUUGCAUGGCCGGACUUCAAUACAGGGGGCUGGACUUUCUCAAGGUUUCUCCGCCCCCUCCUGACAGGCCUGGGAAAUAUUUAGCUUACAUGAUGCAAAGAACUGUUGUGACUCAGUUCAUAUGUGGAGUCUGGGGCUUGUCUGUUGAAACAGGCUUAGACAUCGACGGAGGAAGCAGCAACAUCCACAUUCCAAGAACUCAUCGGUCAUAUUUUAAAGCUGUGGCAGAAAAGGCUCUGUGUUUGGUACGGCAGCAGUUCACUCCAGAGAAAAGGGUAACAAUUUUAUCUGAAAGUGUUCAAGCUUUCGUUGUGCCUUUUCUAAGAUUGGACUCCUUUAAUCACUGCCAUGGAAGGGUCGAUUAUUCUGGAUUUUUUUGAAAAGGAUGAUUUGUUGGAAGUUCUGGGAAACAUGGCCCGGGAAAAUCAACUAGAAUCACUGGCAACUCUUAAUUUUUCUGCAUUUAUAAGAUCACCCCAAGUUCAAGAGCUCCUGGCAACAUCAAAGACUUCUGUACGUAUUUCUGAUAUGAGGUUGACGUACUAUUACUUUCUGUUUCUCAGACUUAAUGAAUAUAUUGGGAAUACUGCCAUAAUGGGCGUUUUUAAGGACAUGAUGCACCUGACAGACAACAGUGAGGUGUCUGCCGUGUAUGCUGCGUGUCGGGACGUGACCCCAGAUAUAAAGUAUGCAGUGUGCCAGAGAAUAGAAGCCCUGACUAGGGGACAGCAGGAUAAUGAACUAUGGGACAUUCUGCGUGACGGCAUGAUCUCAUCAUCUAAAUUUCAGUGGGCUGUAAAACAACAUAGCAUCAACAAGAAACUGUUUAAUCCACAGCCUAUAAAGGUUAAUCACUAUUUUGCUGGUCCUCUAGCCUUUGGGAUAAGAUGUGAACAAACUGUUAAAAAAAUUUUGAGUGAGCUUAUUCAUCCAAACUUGCCAAGAUUUCAUGAUUGUGGAUUUUUGCCCAGUGCAAUUGAUGGAAUUUUUGGAGUUUCCCUGGACACUGCUUUCAAUGUGUUUACAGAUAGCAGCGGACUUGUGCACUUUGAACCAGAUAGUAUUGUGUAUGAAAUAAAGUCCAGAUAUAAGUACCAGUUUUCAAAAUCUGAAUUUGAUGGUCUGGCCAAGAAAUAUUUGGAUCUCUACAAAAACCCCUGUGAGGCAACUUUUAUCAAGUUCAUAAACUGUAUUUCAAGACCCGCUGUUGAAUAUGUUCCACAUGGAAAACUUCCCUCAGAAAGUGACUAUCUAAUCACCCACUCCAUGAACUGGAAAACCAGCAACAAGAGAAAGCGCAAAAUCACUGAUAGUCAUAUCUGUCUUAAAAAAUGUCUACUUCACAACAUGUAUCAACAAUCAACAGUUUAUAUCUUGUCAGACCCCUCUGAGACUUCUGGAAAAAUCACCAUUAAGGCAUCUUUUCCCAUAGAUGUAUUUGUGAAUCCUGCACACAACUACUUUUACCAGGUGGCGCUCCAAAAUAUGGUUGUUCAAGAUUACAUUGAAUUUGGUCAGGGUGUAUAUAAAAGACUAGGCCAUCAGAAGAAUUUCAUAGCAUCUGGAUUUUUCAGAAAGAGACACUUUUCUGAUCCUGCUGUUUGCUCCAUUGGUAAUUGUGGAAAGUUGGAUACUACAGACGAGAUACCAGUGGCGCUCAUCAUCACUCCUGUUAGGAUUCCAUCUACUGUGCUGCACGAGUACCUCAAGAAAGCAAUUGAUUUUUGGAAUCAGUGUGCUGAGGCAAACUUUGACCAUAUCCCAUGGGGGCAGCUUUCGGAUGUUGCAAGAAAACCCAUAACCCCCUAAAAGAUGUAAGGGGACAACUCAUUGACCUGACAAAGGACUUUGAACUAAUUUCUGAAAACACUGGACUUUUGGUUGAAGACCCCUCUGUUGGUGAGGGGCAUUUAGAGCUUAAACCCAAACCUUAUGGGUCAGACACUGACAGUGAUACAGACAUUGAAUAUGAACGAGGCAAACACGCUUAAUUUGCUUUAAUUACUUUAAUAAAAUGUUUAUAGUUCAUCUUC
rnacentral:tmRNA from 1 species